rnacentral:rRNA from 1 species
UACAGAGGGUGCGAGCGUUGUCCGGAAUCACUGGGCGUAAAGGGCGCGUAGGUGGCGACCCAAGUCCAUGGUGAAAGCUCGAUGCUCAACAUCGAGUCGGCCACGGAUACUGGGUUGCUCGAGCACUGUAGAGGCUAAUGGAAUUCCGGGUGUAGCGGUGGAAUGCGUAGAGACCCGGAAGAACACCGGUGGCGAAGGCGGUUAGCUGGGCAGUUGCUGACACUGAGGCGCGACAGCGUGGGGAGCAAACAGG